rnacentral:rRNA from 1 species
CGGGACGGGUGAGUAACGCGUGGGUAACCUGCCUUAUACAGGGGGAUAACAGUCAGAAAUGGCUGCUAAUACCGCAUAAGCGCACAGGGCCGCAUGGCCCGGUGUGAAAAACUGAGGUGGUAUAAGAUGGACCCGCGUUGGAUUAGCCAGUUGGCAGGGUAACGGCCUACCAAAGCGACGAUCCAUAGCCGGCCUGAGAGGGUGAACGGCCACAUUGGGACUGAGACACGGCCCAG